rnacentral:rRNA from 1 species
CCUACGUGUGGCAGCAGUGGGGAAUAUUGGGCAAUGGGCGCAAGCCUGACCCAGCAAAGCCGCGUGAAGGAAGCAGGCUUUCGGGUUGUAAACUUCUUUUAAGGAGGACGAGCAGAAGACGGUACCCCUUGAAUAAGCCACGGCUAACUACGUGCCAGCAGCCGCGGUAAUACGUAGGUGGCAAGCGUUUUCCGGAUUUACUGGGUGUAAAGGGCGUGCAGCAGGAGAGACAAGUCAGAUGGGAAAUCCACGGGCUCAACCCGUGAACUGCAUUUGAAACUGUUUCCCUUGAGUGUCGGAGAGGUAAGCGGAAUUCCUUGUGUAGCGGUGAAAUGCGUAGAUAUAAGGAAGAACACCAGUGGCGAAGGCGGAAUACUGGACGAUAACUGACGGUGAGGCGCGAAAGCGUGGGGAGCAAACAGGAUUAGAUACCCCGGUAGUC